GCCCCGCCCUGGUCCAGUGAUUGAUCAGCAGUGAUUACUGAGGCUUUAAUGGUCCGCUUGGAUGGGAAUUAAUUCUGCGAUGGAUAAAUAAUGCAUCGAGGUUUAGGUAGUCCAAGGCGAGCAGACCGUCCGGAGCCGGGAGAGGUAGCCGAGGGAGCCUGACGGGUGACGCCAGCGGCCACGGGUCCCCGAGCGAGCAGGGCAUGAGGGGCGACUGGGCGCGAGGACGAGCAAAAGCAAGUGGAUGACAGCAUGAACGGCCCCGCGGGGCUGGCCGGACGGCUGCAAGAACAUGCUGAGCCCAAAGAUCAGGCAGGCCAGGAGGGGGAUUUAUUUCUCUACAAGGGACACAGGUGACUGAACUUCCUCCUGGCCCCGAGGACCCAGGGAAGCACCUCUUUGAGAUCAGCCCAGCACAACAGACGUGCACACGGUGGCCUCCCUGCUGAAGCUGUACCUGCGGGAGCUCCCCGAGCCCGUGGUCCCCUUCGCCAGGUAUGAGGACUUCCUCAGCUGCGCCCAGCUGCUCACGAAGGACGAGGGGGAGGGCACUCUGGAGUUGGCUAAACAAGUGAGCAACCUUCCUCAGGCAAAUUACAACCUGCUCAGAUACAUCUGCAAGUUUCUGGAUGAAGUUCAGGCAUACUCAAACGUCAACAAGAUGAGUGUCCAGAAUCUGGCAACCGUUUU
rnacentral:sRNA from 1 species